rnacentral:tRNA from 1 species
GUCAUCGUGGCGGAAUUGGUAGACGCACCAUGAGGAUGGUCCCCGAUCGUUGAUCGCGGGUGCCGGGUUCAAGUCCUGGUCGAUGGCC